GGUCGCCGUAGCGCACCUGGGGCCCGCCCGCCGCCUCCGGCGCGGCGGCGGUCAGCGGCCGCGGCCGCGUCCCGGGGACGGCCA
rnacentral:tRNA from 1 species